CCAGGGUCAGGAACCACUGGCCCAGAGACUUAAAGAGCGAGCGAGCGUCUCUUUCCUCCGCAAUGAAGAUAGGCUGGUGUAAGGCUGGCUUCAUAAAAAUAAGUGGAACAGGGAAGUGGCUCAAUCAGCUGGGCUCCCGUCUUCCACAUGGGAGAGCCUGGGUUCCCGUCCCAGGGCCUCCUUGUGAAGGCGGGCUCGCAUGCCGUGGGGAGCCACCUGGCCCACAAGCGCCGCGGAGAGCCGACUCGGCAAGGUGACGCAACAAAGAAAGGGAGACAAGCAACAACACAGAAGAGCGCACAGCGAAUGGACACAGAGAGCAGACAGC
rnacentral:lncRNA from 1 species